rnacentral:rRNA from 1 species
GACGUAGGGGGCAAGCGUUGUCCGGAUUUAUUGGGCGUAAAGAGCGUGUAGGCGGCCAUACAGGUCCGUUGUGAAAACUGGAGGCUUAACCUCCAGACGUCGAUGGAAACCGUAUGGCUAGAGUCCGGAAGAGGAGAGUGGAAUUCCUGGUGUAGCGGUGAAAUGCGCAGAUAUCAGGAAGAACACCCGUGGCGAAGGCGGCUCUCUGGGACGGUACUGACGCUGAGGCGCGAAAGCCAGGGGAGCAAACGGG